GUCUACAGCCAUGCCACCCUGAAAGAGUCCGAUCCCGUCUGGUCUCGGAAGCUGAGCAGGGUCGGGCCUGGGUAGUACUUAGAUGGGAAACCACCUAGGAAGACCAGGUGCUGUAGGCG
rnacentral:rRNA from 1 species